UACGUAGGGGGCAAGCGUUGUCCGGAUUUAUUGGGCGUAAAGAGCGUGUAGGCGACUAUACAGGUCCGCUGUGAAAACUCGAGGCUCAACCUCGAGACGUCGGUGGAAACCGUAUGGCUAGAGUCCGGAAGAGGAGAGUGGAAUUCCUGGUGUAGCGGUGAAAUGCGCAGAUAUCAGGAAGAACACCCGUGGCGAAGGCGGCUCUCUGGGACGGUACUGACGCUGAGACGCGAAAGCGUGGGGAGCGAACAGG
rnacentral:rRNA from 1 species